rnacentral:rRNA from 1 species
CGGUAAUACGUAGGGUGCGAGCGUUGUCCGGAAUUAUUGGGCGUAAAGAGCUUGUAGGCGGUUUGUCGCGUCUGCCGUGAAAAUCCGGGGCUCAACCCCGGACUUGCGGUGGGUACGGGCAGACUAGAGUGUGGUAGGGGAGACUGGAAUUCCUGGUGUAGCGGUGAAAUGCGCAGAUAUCAGGAGGAACACCGAUGGCGAAGGCAGGUCUCUGGGCCACUACUGACGCUGAGAAGCGAAAGCAUGGGGAGCGAACAGGAUUAGAUACCCUGGUAGUCCAUGCCGUAAACGUUGGGCGCUAGGUGUGGGACUCAUUCCACGAGUUCCGUGCCGCAGCUAACGCAUUAAGCGCCCCGCCUGGGGAGUACGGCCGCAAGGCUAAA